UACGUAGGGCGCAAGCGUUGUCCGGAAUUAUUGGGCGUAAAGAGCUCGUAGGCGGCUUGUCACGUCGGGUGUGAAAGCCCGGGGCUUAACCCCGGGUCUGCAUUCGAUACGGGCUAGCUAGAGUGUGGUAGGGGAGAUCGGAAUUCCUGGUGUAGCGGUGAAAUGCGCAGAUAUCAGGAGGAACACCGGUGGCGAAGGCGGAUCUCUGGGCCAUUACCUGACGCUGAGGAGCGAAAGUGUGGGGAGCGAACAGG
rnacentral:rRNA from 1 species